CCUACGGGUGGCAGCAGUGAGGAAUAUUGGUCAAUGGGCGCGAGCCUGAACCAGCCAAGUAGCGUGAAGGAUGACUGCCCUACGGGUUGUAAACUUCUUUUAUAAAGGAAUAAAGUAAUGCACGUGUGCCUUUUUGUAUGUACUUUAUGAAUAAGGAUCGGCUAACUCCGGUCCAGCAGCCGCGGUAAUACGGAGGAUCCGAAGGUUUUCCGGAUUUAUUUGGUUUAAAGGGAGCGUAGAUGGGUUGUUAAGGCCGUUGGGAAAGUUUGCGGCUCAACCGUAAAAUUGCAAUUGAUACUGGCAGCCUUGAGUACAGUUGAGGUAGGCGGAAUUCGUGGUGUAGCGGUGAAAUGCUUAGAUAUCACGAAGAACUCCGAUUGCGAAGGCAGCUUACUAAACUGCCACUGACAUUGAUGCUCGAAAGUGUGGGUAUCAAACAGGAUUAGAUACCCGAGUAGUC
rnacentral:rRNA from 1 species